rnacentral:rRNA from 1 species
UGAGGAAUAUUGGUCAAUGGACGCAAGUCUGAACCAGCCAAGUAGCGUGCAGGAUGACGGCCCUAUGGGUUGUAAACUGCUUUUAUAUGGGGAUAAAGUGGGGAACGUACUCCCUUUUGCAGGUACCAUAUGAAUAAGGACCGGCUAAUUCCGUGCCAGCAGCCGCGGUAAUACGGAAGGUUCGGGCGUUAUCCGGAUUUAUUGGGUUUAAAGGGAGCGUAGGCCGUUUGGUAAGCGUGUUGUGAAAUGUAGGAGCUCAACUUCUAGAUUGCAGCGCGAACUGUCAGACUUGAGUGCGCACAACGUAGGCGGAAUUCAUGGUGUAGCGGUGAAAUGCUUAGAUAUCAUGAAGAACUCCGAUUGCGAAGGCAGCUUACGGGAGCGCAACUGACGCUGAAGCUCGAAGGUGCGGGUAUCGAACAGG